AAACACUCUGUUUGGUAGUGAGUGAUACUCUCUUUUUGAGUUAGCUUGAAAUUGUUGGCCACUCGUGCGGAAGCGUGCGUGAGGGUUGUUUUCAUUGGGAGUUCCGCAAUGAGAAUAUCGUAUUAGGUUUUACCAACUUCGGUGUUUUCUGUUGUGGGAUGCUAAUCCUUGUGUUAGACUCUUGUGCUGUGUCUGCCGGCAAACAAAGACCUUUAAG
rnacentral:misc_RNA from 1 species